rnacentral:sRNA from 1 species
UGAAAUCGACCCUCCACCUAGGGUGUCAU